rnacentral:rRNA from 1 species
UACGAAGGGGGCUAGCGUUGCUCGGAAUCACUGGGCGUAAAGGGUGCGUAGACGGAUACUUAAGUCAGGGGUGAAAUCCCGGGGCUCAACCCCGGAACUGCCUUUGAUACUGGGUAUCUCGAGUCCGGAAGAGGUGAGUGGAAUUCCGAGUGUAGAGGUGAAAUUCGUAGAUAUUCGGAGGAACACCAGUGGCGAAGGCGGCUCACUGGUCCGGUACUGACGCUGAGGUGCGAAAGCGUGGGGAGCAAACAGG